AAUUACAGAUUCCUGCACACCUGUUGGAGGCCCUGGUAAAGACUUCCUCAGGAGAAGUUCCUGGGCUCCCUCUCCUCUCUACUUUCUCUGUUUGUUUUGCGCUCACCCGUUGGGCUGCAGCUUGUUUGUAUGCGCCCUAGUUCCCGUUAUAAAACCCUUUUUCUUUUCCUCAAACAUGGCACCGGCUUCACAUGUUUAAGCUGAGAACAUAUUCAGUUGAAUUCCACAUGGAUGCAAUCAGGAAAAAUAAAUUCAUGCAUUGAUUUAACCGGCAACUAUGAUGCCCCUAAGGGGACAUGGGUCCGGUUCGCGCUACUGACCGGACAAUGGAUGGUCCGGUUCUGGAUGGAAGAAGUUCACAGCACUAAAUAAACUAAAGUGGCUUCCUUCCAUCUGUUCAAGUCAAAGAACCGCCUGGAGUGAAGUUCAUGCUACUUUACCGUACCAUUGUUGUUUUCUGUGUUAGAUGCAGCUGCAAUCGUCACUUCCGUGUUUUCAGAUUACAACUGGAGAAUUUAUGGACGCUACACUAGUUAGCAAUAGCAACAGGUAGCCCAAUUUAUAUCUCUCUCUCUCGCUAGCUGAUGAGAUAGAUCACUAAAAUAUGCAGCUGCUCCAUGUUUGCUGUCGUGACAAUGACCCAGAACUACUGUGGUGUAAUUUGUACAUGUUUAUUUUUGGGGAGAAUGCAAAUGUUUUGCGAGACCACGCAAGAGAGGAUGCAAAUGUGUUGUGAGAUCUCUUAAAAGUUUUGUGAGAGAACACAAAGAUUUUGCGAGAUCUUGCGAAGGUAUUUCUGUUUUCCUACUCAUGUUCCUUUGGGGGCUCCAUAGGCAAGAGCUCACUUUACUUAGUUAAAUGUAGAGUUUAAACAUGCACUGCACAAACUCGGAUCUCCCAAGAUUAAGAACCAGAGAGGUAUACUUUCUUGUAUGCUCUUGUAUGCCUAAUAGUAGGGAGCCUACUUUAAAGCUUUUAAUUUAAGAUAUGAUUAUGUCCAACAGAAGAGCGCUUCAGCUACAUUGGUCACCAUUAUUCAUUCGAGCCCGAAUUCAUGGAUUAAGAGUUUCAGAAGUGGCUGAGAGGUCUAAGGGCACUCAAUGAAAGUGAUAUGAAAAUGUUUCCCCCCCCCAUUGAAAUUGCACAGAUAGGAACCUUUUUCUGUCCUGAAGAUUGUCUGGGCUCAUGAAAUCCC